rnacentral:tmRNA from 1 species
GGGGGCGAUACGGUUUCGACGGGGAUAGUUGAAGCUGUAGAAGCGUGCCGAGGUUCCUACAGGCCUCGUUAAAUAGGUAGGAAAACUUUAAUCGCAGACAACUACGAUUACGCUGUAGCCGCUUAGUCGGCUUCCGUUCUCCUGAUCUUGCCUGUCGGGUCAGAUGAGGGCGUCAACGAGGCAGGAUUGCCGAUCUUCCAUUCUCGAGGGGAGAAAGGUGAAACCCUAUCGAGAUAGCGCGUGAUUAAUCCUUCCCCUGGGAGUUCUCAAGCGCGAAUUUAAAUCAGAGGAUACGCACGUAGAAGCUGCAGUGGAAUGUUUCCGGACGCGGGUUCGACUCCCGCCGCCUCCACCA